GACGAACGCUGGCGGCGUGCCUAAUACAUGCAAGUCGAGCGAACCAAUAGGAGCUUGCUCCUAUUGGUUAGCGGCGGACGGGUGAGUAACACGUGGGCAACCUGCCUGUAAGACUGGGAUAACACCGGGAAACCGGUGCUAAUACCGGAUAAUCCUUUCCCUCUCAUGAGGGGAAGUUGAAAGUCGGUUUCGGCUGACACUUACAGAUGGGCCCGCGGCGCAUUAGCUAGUUGGUGAGGUAACGGCUCACCAAGGCGACGAUGCGUAGCCGACCUGAGAGGGUGAUCGGCCACACUGGGACUGAGACACGGCCCAGACUCCUACGGGAGGCAGCAGUAGGGAAUCUUCCACAAUGGACGAAAGUCUGAUGGAGCAACGCCGCGUGAGCGAUGAAGGCCUUCGGGUCGUAAAGCUCUGUUGUUAGGGAAGAACAAGUAUCGGAGUAACUGCCGGUACCUUGACGGUACCUAACCAGAAAGCCACGGCUAACUACGUGCCAGCAGCCGCAGUAAUAC
rnacentral:rRNA from 1 species